ACAGAGCACACCAGGGAUCACAGUACGGAGCACAUCAGGGCACACUGACUGAACUGGUCAAUGAAAAUCCAAGAGCACAACUAACAUCGCAGGGGAAUGAACAUACCAACGAGUUGUCUCCUUUCAAGAGGAAUGUGCUUAAACUUCUCAUGGAAGUUAAGGCAGAGCUAAAAGAGCAGAGAGCAAUGAUACAAAACUUACAGGGAGUGCCUGCUGUACCUGAUCAGGAAAUAAGAUGUGGCUUGCAGUUACCUUUACAAUCUCUUGAAGAUUUUGAGGAAUUGGAGAGGUUGGAUGAGACCGAAAAAAAUAGAUUGAUUUACCAGCUGUCACUUCUAGGUGGGCAUAAAUUGGAAGGCACUAUAAGAAAAAUGUUGAGCCACAUUUUAAGCAACAAACUGGCUUCGUCAUUGAACUGGGCAGGACGUGGAGAGA